GCCCCAAGGCAGCUGUGUCAGGUUGGCAAUCACUGUUUGCUUAAAAAGGACCUCAGUGUUUAACUCAUUGUGCGGCUGGCUCGGAGUGGCUCCCUGCUGGGAAACGGCUGCGUCCAUCGGGCGGAGCACCUAGAAGCUCCGCUGUGAGCACCGCGCCCACUCUCCGCCGCAGGCAAUCAGUAAUCAACGCACCUGGUUUUAAUGAGGGACUACAGGAUGAAGAGCCUCUUCGUCGGAACGUAGCUCUGUUCGCAUCACUCGUGUCUCAGCUUUCGUUGUGCGCCUCUGCUGUUGCCUUUCCCUCCUCGAUCCUUGAACCCUGUUUUGGACUUCUGGACUUCUCUCUCCUGCCUACGACCACGCUCAGACCUCGGACCUCUUGGCGUCUUCCCCUCGGACUUGGACGCUGUACUUCCAACACGCACUUCAACAAACGUUACGGUAUUUACAUACGGUUAAUUUCCACACGUAGUUUUCCAUUCAAACGCAUGGUGGCAUACACACUCCAUACAAUCAACAAGCACUCAAUAAAUCUGUUGAGCUUGAUCCAUUGUCGUGCCGUCUCCUUCCCCAGUCCUUACAUAACAGUAAAUACUUUGUAGCAGUUAAAAGAUGAACCUUUACCAUACUGAACAGUUGCAGACUCCCGAUAGAAUUAAACAAAUGUUAUUGUCAAGGACAUGUGAUCGGAAACUUGUGACUGUGUUUACAAGGAUAAAAAAGGUCAUUAUAUAAAAAAAGUUGAACUAUAGGUCACCUUCCAAAGAGACAAUGAGCUUAAAUGUGUGUGAUAAUCAUUGGUACUUUAACUUUAAAUUUAUAGCUAAAAUACCAAACGAUAAUAAAAGUUACAAUUUAAGAUAGUCCAGUGCCGCAUUACUUCAUGUGUGUGAAUUGCCUUGUGGGUGAUAGGUCAUAGGCGGAUAAAUUAAUACAAAACUCUGGGCUUUCUUUGGAGAGAUAAAUCUAUUAACUCCAUCCGAAUACCUACUUUAAGUGCGGCUUUAUUCAAUUACAAUACUACUUUAAGAAGACCGGAAUAUGAAAUUCAAAUCAAACUAAUGGAUUUUAAGUAAAAAAUAAACUGCAAUAUACUGUAAUGCUAUUAAAAUAGAAACACUAGUUCAUAAACUUAAUUAGGACAAAAGUAUACAUAACUUUAAAGUAAGAAAUUGUUUCAUUUAACUUUUACGACGCGAGUAAACAGAAGUAUUCUAUUAAAAUAGAAAAAUAGCUCAUAAUGUCAUGUUCACGUCUUGGACCUUGUCAUGUUCACGUCUUGGACCUUGUCAUAUUCUGGUUUUGUUUCUGUUUUGUUAUCACCCUGUGUUGUAUUUGGCUCUCUUAGUUCCCGGUGGCACUUCCUGGUUUGUUUCUGUUGUCCUAGCAACGCAUUUGUGUCACCUGCCUUCCGUGUGAUCACGCACACCUGCCUCCUGAUUUAUCUCCUUAUUUAAGACAGUCUUUGUUGGACAUUCGCUCUCGGACUGUAGUUUGCUACAUGCAACAAGUGACGUCGCAUUUCCGCAUUGUGGUAAACACCCUUUGUACGUGAUUAGCUUCUAUGCUAUUUUGUUGGUUUGUCCCUAGCUUACACGCUAGCGCCUUCUGUUCCCUUUGUUCUUUCUAGCUCAUGUGCUACUUCUAUUGGUUUUUGUUUAUAGUGCCAUUGUGCAAGUCUUUUGGUCCUUAGUCUGUUUUGUAGUGUUAAUAAAUCAUUAUCCUUACCCUCACGCUGUGUUCCAUUCUCCGCUGCACCCACGAGAGAACAACUCUUCACCACGAUGCCAGUUAGGCGUUACAGUACAGUUCGAGCACAUUGACGUUCUCUAGCAGCCAAAUUACAGGCUUUUGAUGUGUGUACGGGGCAGAUAGCCCAAGCAAUGCAGACAGGGACUUUUCGCCACACGCCAGAGUGGAUCCGGGAGCCCGGACGUCUUCAGGCUUCACCCGACGCCUCUUGGCUCGUUGCAGUCCUGGCUCGCUCGCGUCAGCGAGAGCGGAAGUCAUGGAGGAAGACAGCAAAAGCAGCAAAUGAAAUAUUUGACUUACAGUUGUGUGGAUGUCAUGAUCGAUGACGUGCCUGCUGAUGCCAGAAAAGCAGUAAAAAUCAAAUGUUUUCACUUGCUCCCAGUUGUGCACACAUUACAAUGUGGAAUAUGUCAACACUCUCCCAACCGCGCCACGCCGUUGGGAGUGGCCGUGCCAGAAACCUGAGGGUUCCCGGUUCGAUCCCCACCUUCUACCAACCUCGUCACGUCUGUUGUGUCGUUGAACAAGACACUUCACCCUUGCUCCUGAAAGGGUCCUCGUUAGGGCCUUGCAUGACAGCUCCCUCAGUGUGUGAAUGUGGAAAUAGUGUCAAAGCGCUUUGAAGGUAGAAAAGCGCUAUACAAGUAACACACAUCUUGUUUUUGGCGGUGUUUUCCUCAUCCCGCGAGGAAAGUCACCUGAUUGGCUGUCCUUCAUAACUAGCUUCAAACCCUCUUUCAAUGUAAGCCGUUGAAGUGCUGUGAUUGGACAUAUUCCGAACUAGUCGUCCCACUCAUCAACACGGUUAAUUUAAAUAUGAUUGGAUUUUGUUACGGUAAUUUUUCUCGUUUUUAUGCGUUAACUAACAUGUCUGUGCCUUUAUUUUGAUUAUCAUCUUACACUGCAAAAUGUCAGUGUUCAAAAACAAGAAAAAUUAAAAAUUAGGGGUAUUUUACUUGAACUUGGUAAAAUAAUCUGCCAAUAGAACAAUCAAAUUUGGCUUGUAAGACUUUCCAAAACAAGUAAAAUUAACUAAACGCAAUGAACCCCAAAAUACCUUAAAAUAAGUAUAUUCUCACUAAUUAAAAGUGCACUUUACUUGAUAGAGAAAAAAAUUCUCUUUUUUUUUUUUCUAUGUUGAAAAAUGUUUUUAAAUUAAGUAAAUUCUAGUCCCAUUAUCUUGACAUGAUAUACAGGUGCUGGUCAUAUUAUUAGAAUAUCAUGAAAACGUUCAUUUAUUUCAUUAAUUCCAUUUAGAAAGUCAAAGUUGUAGAAUUUAUACAUUCAUUCCAAACAGACUGAUACAUUUCAAGUGUUUUUUGCCAAAAAGGAGAUGCUUAUAGCUGACAACCAAUGAAAACCCUAAAUUGAACAUCUCAGAAAAUUAGAAUAUUGUGAAAAGGUCAGAUAUUGAAGACACCUGGUGCCACACUCAAAUUAGCUAACUAACUUAAAACACCUGGAAAAGCCUUUAAAUGGUCUCUCGUUUUGAUUCUGUAUGACACACAAUCAUGGGGAAGACUGCUGACUUGACAACUGUCCAAAAGAUGACCAUUGAUACUUUAAAGGAGGGCAAGACACAAAAGGUCAUUGCCAAAGAGGUUGGAUUUUCCCAUAACUCUGUGUCCAAGCACAUUAAUAGGUGAAGGGAAGACAAAGAUGUGGUAGAAAAAAGUGUACAAGCAAGAGGGAUAACCGCGCCCUGGAGAGGAUUGUCAAAUAAAACCGAUUCAAAAAUGUGGGGGAGAUCCACAAAGAGUGGACUGCAGCUGGAGUCAGUGCUUCAAGAACCACCACACACAGACGUAUGCAAGAUAUGGGCUUCAGCUGUCGCAUUCCUUGUGUAAAGCCACUCCUGAAUAAGAGACAACGUCAAAAGCGUCUCGCCUGUGCUCAAGACAAAAAGGAUUGGACUGCUGCUGAGUGGUCCAAAGUUAUGUUUUUCAGAUGAAAGUCAAUUUUGUGUCUCCUUUGGAAAUCAAGGUCCCAGAGUCUGGAGGAAGACAGGAGAGGCACAGAAUCCACGUUGCCUGAAGUCCAGUGUCAAAUUUCCACAAUGGGUAAUGGUCUGGGGUGCCAUGUCAUCUGCUGGUGUUGGUCCACUGUGUUUCCUGAGGUCUAGGGUCAAUGCAGCAGUCUACCAGGAAGUUUUAAAACACUUUAUGCUGCCUGCCGCGGACCAAUUUUUUGGAGACUCACCUGACCUUAACCCCAUAGAAAACCUAUGGGGUAUUGUGAAGCGGAAGAUGCGAGAUGCCAGAGCCAACAAUGCUGAAGGCCACUAUUAAAGCAACCUGGGCUCUCAUAACACCUGAGUGCAACAGACUGGUCGACUCUAUGCCACGCCGUAUUGCUGCAGCAAUUCAGGCGAAAGGAGCUGCAACUAAGUAUUGAUUGCCGUACAUGCUGAAACUUUCUAUGUUCAUACUUUUCAGUUGGCCCACAUUUCUAAAAAAUAUUUUUUGGUACUAGUCGUAACUAAUAUUCUAAUUUUCUGAGAUACGGAAUUUAGGAUUUUCAGUAAUUGUCAGUACUAAUCAUCAAAAUUUAAAGAAAUAAACAUUUCAAAUAUAUCACUAUGUGUGUAAUGAAUUGAUAUAAUAUGUAAGUUUCACGUUCUGAAUAUAAUUACUGAAAUAAAUCAAAAUUUUCAUGAUAUUCUAAUAUGAACAGCACCUGUACGCUCGGUAUUACAUUUCUUGAAACCAGCAAACUUAUGUUAAAAACUAGUUUAUUUUUCUUAAAGGGGAACAUUAUCACAAUUUCAAAAGGGUUAAAAACAAUAAAAAUCAGUUCCCAGUGGCUUGUUUUAUUUUUUGAAGUUUUUUUUCAAAAUUUCACACCUCCCGGAAUAUCCCUAAAAACUGCUUUACAGUGCCUGAUUUUCACCAUCGCUAUAUCCACCCGUCCAUUUCCCUGUGACGUCAUACAGUGAUGCCAAUACAAACAUGGCGGUUACCACAGGAAGAUAUAGCGACAUUAGCUCGGAUUCAGACUCUGAUUUCAGCAGCUUAACCGAUUCAACAGAUUACGCAUGUAUUGAAACAGAUGGUCGGAGUAUGGAGGCAGAUAGCAAAAACGAAAUUGAAGAAAUUGAAGCUAUUCGGCCAUAGCAUGGGUGUACCUAAUGAAGUGGCCCAUAGCAUGGCUGCCUUAUUAGCAUCGCCGGUAAAAUGUGCAGAUCAAACGAUCAGGACUUUCGCAUCUUGAGACACUGGAGCAACUUAAAUCCGUCGAUUGGUAAGUGUAUGUUUCGCAUUAAAUGUGGGUAUCUAGUUUCAAUUGUACAUACAGCUAGCGUAAAUAGCAUGUUAGCAUCGAUUAGCUGGCAGUCAUGCCGUGAGCAAACAUGUCUGAUUAGCACAUAAGUCAACAACAUCAACAAAACUCACCUUUGUGUUUUCGUUGACUUAAUCGUUGCAAAUGCAUCUGCAGGUUAUCCAUACAUCUCUGUGCCAUGUCUGUCUUAGCAUCGCCGGCAGAUACUCUGGCAAAUUCAAUUGGGGUCUGGCGGCAGAUUUUUUGCCAGUGGUGCAACUUGAAUCCCUCCCUGUUAGUGUUGUUACACCCUCCGACAACACAUCGACGAGGCAUGAUGUCUCCAAGGUUCCAAAAAAUAGUCGAAAAAACGGAAAAUAACAGAGCUGAGACCCGGUGUUUGUGAAAAUGAAAAUGGCGGGUGUGUUACCUCGGUGACGUCACGUUCUGACGUCAUCGCUAAAAGACCGAUAAACAGAAAGGCGUUUGAUUUGCCAAAAUUCACCGAUUUAGACUGAGGAAAAUCGAUUAAAAAAAUACAUGGUCUUUUUUCUGCAACAUCAAGGUAUAUAUUGACGCUUGCAUGGGUUUGGUGAUAAUGUUCCCCUUUAAUGGAAAGGCAACAAGGCAACUGCUUGUUACUCUCGGGGUCUACUAGCCGCUCAGGCAAAUCGUAUAGUCUAAAAAUGCAUUUUUCCAUUGUUAACAUGACAUCUUUCCAACUGCGUGCUCUUUCAGUCAUUAGUGCGCAAGGAGUAUAUAUAUAUACAUAUAUAUAUAUAUAUAUAUAUAUAUAUAAUUACAGCCCGGCCCCUGGCCAAAUUUGUUUUAAUUGUAAUUCUGAAGAAAUUAUUGGAAUGUGCAUGAACUAUUUCUGUUCAAAAUUGUUUGAAAUGUCACAUAUUAAAUGUUUGAAUAUUAACUGUCAGUUUGCUGUACUGUGCCAACUGUCUUACUAUAUGAGUACGUAUGUUCUAUUUUUUCAUUGAAAAUAAAACAGCAAAGUCCAUUUGGCUGUCAUCUGUUUCAAUAAUGAGACACAAUUGUGUAAAAGUCAUGAUUUUUUAUUUUACGCUUGAAAUACGAAAUUUUUGCUUUGAAAAAGCAGUUUUAUACUUGUGAGUGUUGAUGACACAGCUUUGCAACAGUUGAUAUUCUAAUUUCAAUCAUGUUUUACUCAAAAUAGGUCAUAAAAUCUCAGCAGCAAGCUGUAAUAUCUUACUGAGAUCAUUUAGGACCAAAACCCUAAAAUAAGUAAAAGACACUAAUAUAAAACCUGUAUUUUGAGAAGAAUUAUCUUAUCAGAUAGAAAAAAAGCAAAUAUCACCUUUAUUUGAGAUAUUUAAUCUUACUUAGAUUUCAGUUUUUGCAAUGUAUUUGACCUACUACAAUGUAAAAAAAUAAAAUAAACAUUUUCCAGCACAGGAGGGGCACGGCUGACUUUUUGGGCCAGGACUGAUCAUUAAUUAAAUUAUUCACAUGACGACGCGUGUGUCUCCUUGACAUGGAGUGGACAAGUCCCCAGUCUGGAUGGGAAAAUAUAAAUAAGAAAAACAAACAAAACUUCAAGCAACACAGGUAGAAUAUGACUCUUAAUGAUUUGAUUAGUUUUGCACUGAAAUGGAAUUUGAAUUGAAUUACUGGAUGUUGGACUUGAUGAUGAUUUUGCUUCUUCUUCCUCUUUGCCUGACAACUUCCACAUGUCAAGACUUUCAUCCUUUCCUUUGUUUUUUUCGACUAAACUAAAUGACUGAACAUUUUAUUUUUGCAAGCAAUUUAUUUGGCAUGGAUAUGAUGAAAAAAGGCAAAACAUUGGAAACACACUGAUUAGCAAUACAUAUAUUUGAUGGUUAUGAAUAUAAUAUUAGUCACUGUGUAUGCUAUUCAAUGAUUUUGUAUGUGUAUACUAUUAAAGCUUUGUAUUUUCUUCAAGUUGUGUCUUUAGAGGUCGCCAUGUGGUCACCAGGGUCACUUUGGGGUUCCAAUGUAACUUUGUCUAUAAAGUUUUUGUCGUCUUCUCCUGGCUUCUGUGUUUGAUUCUUCUCCAUCUUUCCCACUGGAACUAAAGAUUGUUACGGUUUACUCGUUGACAUCUUGUUUAAAUGUCAGCCUGCUUACCCUUUGUCUUCUGCACUUUCGUUGCUGUGACUGUACUUUUCAUUUUCUUUGUAGCGUUCGGACCAAACGCUACGUUACCCGCUGCAUCAGUCCAGUAGGAUGUCACGCCCAAGUCGGGCGUUCCCUCGGUCACUUCCAGCUAAGAGCAGACACGUAAUAAAAAUACCUUAUAAGAAUGUAUGAAAAAAAACAAAAAAAAAAACACUUCCUCUACUUCUCCUAUGGACCAGUGACAUAAAACUUACCACCAAAACCCAGAAAGAAGAUUUUCAAAUGUAUUUAACGACAUUUCCCUCAUUCAAUCUUUACAUAAGAAAAUGGCGUGCAACAAUUGUAUUAGUCAGCAAGACAUAAAUCAACAAAUAUGAACAAUAGUUAUUGAUAAUGUAGCAUUGCUAGGGAACACUUCCGUGUGCACCGACACUAGGCACUGAUGGCUUUUUUUUUUUCGGUCCACAUGCGGCUCUCUAGUGCUGUCCUAGUGGCUCCAAUUAGCAUUUUCAAAAAAGGAUUGAAAAUGGAAAAAGAUGGGGAAAACAUUUUUUUUUGGCUUUAGUAAGUUUUUUGUUUGAGGACAAACAUGACACAAACCUUCCCAAUUGCUAUAGAGCCCACUGUUCAAUAUGAUUGUGUGUAUGCUUGACUGAUGACAGUAUUUGGUGAACAUAUUGUGUCCUACUAAUUUCGGCGGUUCUUGAACUCACCAUAGUGUGAACUGUGACGCAACAGUUUGUUUACAAGUAAAAUAUUCCACUCCUUUAUCUCAUUUUGUCCACAAAAAGUUUCAAGGUGGACUUUGUUGAUGUUAUUUACUUGUUGGAGUGUUAAUCAGGCAUAUUUGGUCAGUGCAUGACUGCAAGUUAGUCAUUGCUAACAUGCUAUUUAGGCUAGCUGUAUGUACAUAUUGCAUCAUUAUGCCUCAUUUGUAGGUAUAUUUCCUUUACUUUCAUCCUCUUUGUAUAUAAUUUAGUUUUGCAUGUCUCGCGACACAUUACCUGUAUGUAAUAUUGGUUGCUUUUCAUAUAGUUGUUUGUGUACCAUGUUGUUCCAGACCACAGCAAACAUUA